CCGAGUUUACAACUCCCAAACCCUUUGUGAACCUUACCUAUCGUUGCUUCGGCGGGAUCGCCCUGGCGCCUCCGGGCGCCGGAUCUCAGGCACCCGCCGGGGGCCCGAAACUCUUAGUUUAUUGUAGUGUUUUCUCUCCGAGUGGCACAAGCAAAAAUAAAUCA
rnacentral:misc_RNA from 1 species